rnacentral:lncRNA from 1 species
CGUGUUCAAUCCUGGGAGUAACUCUGCUACAAAGUCAAUUGGUGCUCAUGUUUUCGACAAACCACUCCCCAACACCCCCACUGUCUAUGAUUGGUACAUAAUCUCCUCUAUGAUUGGUACAUAGUCUUAUUUAUGUUUAUACCGUUGGAUCUGAGACUCUUUGAUCUACGGAUGAGAUUUACCUGUUUGUUGAUGGGAUGAUUCGUGCUAAAAUGAGUAUGGUUGUAUGUGAUUGCAGGAUGUACAGUGGGGAUACGAGAAGCAAGCACCGUUGAUUAGUGAUCAAGUGGAUACCAACUCCCUUGGGUUUUGCAUGUAAAUAGUGUUCUGUUUUGUUCAUCUUCUGCCACGUGUCUACAUCACCGUUACGUGUUGAGAUCUGAUUGGUUGUUGCAGAGUGUUUUUUUUUUAUUUAAGCAUCUAAUCUGAAUCUGAAUGUAAAAUACUUAAUAAAUUGAAUUAGUAUGCUUUAAUGAGUUUGUAUUUAACUUUUAUCUGAAUGGAUUAGGACUGUAUUAAUAAUAAUUUUAGGUGAGAUGCAUACAUCAUUGAUCCACUAAAUUGAUUUAUAUCCAUUUCCUAAUCAUUCUAGUAAUUUAAUACUACUUGGAAAUAAUUAAAAUUUUGGGGCCACCAAUACCAAGUCCUUUUAUAAGUAAUUGACAAAUAAAAUAAAGUAUGAUUUAAUGGAGAAAUCGAGGGAUUCAUAUCUUAUCCUUAUUUUGAAUAUUGACAACAUAGCUCAUGUCAUUGAUAUAUAUAAUGGAGUCCUUGACUUAAAAAAAAAGUUACUCUAUUCUUAACGGAUUAAUUGAUCAGUUUAUAUAGGUAUAUGAAAGAGAAUAAUAUUUUGAUUAAAUUUAGACUAAUUGAAAUAGAACGAGUAAUAAUUAAUAAUAACAAUAAGGGUUAAAAUAUGUAUAAUCAAUUUUAGUUUCUAAUUUUUUUUAUUUAUUCUAAAAUUUUCUGUCUACAAUUUUGUUCUGUUAUUUAUUUGGUCUAACAAUAGCUAAGUGGUAUGCCGGUGUCAUGUUAAAUUGUGGAGAUUUAAAUCUCUUCAAACCUCUUUAAACUAAAACUAAUUUUAAAAAAUUUCAAUUACAUGAUUAUAAAUGAACCAGAAACUAAAAUUUUGGCAUAAAAAAUAUAAAGGUGGCCAUAAUUCUCUUGCUAUAAUGUUACAUGAAUCUAAUUUCUAAAAUAUGUUGCGUGCACAAUAACUAGAAUAGAUUAAAUAAAUGGAUUGAUUCAAAUUUUCUUAACACUUUCAUCCCUCAUAUGAUAAGAAAAUGCAUUUUGUGAGAGAGUGAGUAAAGAACAUAGAAACAUAACCUAUCUGAAAUGAAGCGAUUUUAGUUAAUUAUGGAUUUUUAAAAUCCGAAGGGAACGAAACGAAGCACUGAAGUAGAAUGUGGAGAAAACUUAAGGAUUUUGAAACCCCAAAUGGUGAAAUGUGUGGAGAAAACUUAAGGAUUUUGAAACCCUAAAUGGUGAAAUGUGUUGAAUUAUUAUAAUUUUUUGUGUUAAAGCAGAUUGCUCGACUGAAGCGAGAAUGUAUCGGAUCAAGUUGUUCGAUAAAAAGUAAGGAUGUGUCAAAACACCUAGUUAUCGAAGUGUUGAGGAGUUAGUCUCAACAUGAAUUUUUUACUUAGGCCAAAUUUAGUAGCAUAAUUAGAUAUUUUGAGUUUUGUUUGGGGAGCAAGUAAAUCCAACUCUAUAAAUAGGAAGUAAUCCCUAUUAUUGUAAUAUAACACAUACUUGCAGUUGCAAAGAAUAAAAGUUCUCAAUUUGAGAGUCGAGAGUUACUCUGCAAAAUUUCUUCUUCUUCCUUGUUUGAAAAUCCUAAUCUCUUUUUCUUUUCCAAUUCAAUUUUGUUUCUUUUCAUUACCAUUGUGCACCGAAAUCUUGCAACUAAGAUUUGGUUGAUUCACUCGACCGAAGAGUGAAGAACAAGAGGAGUAAUCAAUCAGAAAGAUUGAUUAUUAUUCAUCAAGAUUAAAUUCAGAAUUCUCCAUAUAUUUUGGUGAAUUUCUUGAAGGAGAAUUGAUGAAUUUCCAACAUCUGGUAUCUAUAGCGCUGAUUGAGCGAUUCGUGGGAAGAAAAACACGAUGGUGAUGAAUCAACCAAACAAACAUUUUUCGAGGAGUCUCCCAAUUUCGAAGAAUCAGAAUCAUGAGAAUUGGUGCAAGUAGAUAGAUGUUGUCUUUUUCUAUCAAGAUCUUUGGGAUCUUGUGAAGGAGGGAGUGACACCGCUUGCAACAAACGUGACGAAUGAGGAAAAAACUGCACACAAAAAAUUGAAAAAGAAAGAUUAUAAAUCUCUCUUUAUAAUCCAUCAAUGUGUUAAUGGAGAAAAUCCAAAAAGGCUAGUGAUGUUGAAUCAACAAAAGAAGCAUGAGAAAUUCUGAAAAAAUCAUUUGGAGGUGCGGAAAAAGUGAAAGAAGUGAGGUUACAAACUCACAAAAGAACGUAUGAAUUGCUUAAGAUGGAAGACAAUGAAAGCAUAACUGAUUUUUUCACUAGGGUUACAAAACUGGUGAAUCAAAUCAAGGUAUGUGGAGAAGUGUUAACAUCAAGAUCAGUUGUUUCAAAGAUCUUAAGGUCAUUGGCUCCAAGUUCAACCACGUGGUAGUAGCCACAGAAGAGUCGAAAGAUUUGUCAAUAUUGACAAAGGAAGAGCUUGAAGAGACACUUCAAUCUCAUGAACACAUAAUGGCUAAAAGAGCUGUAGGCAAGUUGAAAAAUGAUGUGGCUUUAUAGGCACAAUCAACAAGAGAAAAGAAAGGUAAAAGAAGGUGGUUCGACAACAAAAGUAAAGGAGGCUACGACAAUUCGAUUGGUCAAAAUCAGCAAGAAAGAGGUUGGUUGAAUCAGAGAAAGCUCUUAUACCAAAACAACCAAAGAGAUGGUGAUGCAUGUAGAGGAAGAGGUGGUGGUCGAAAACCUGACAAAAGUCGCAUUUAGUGUUUCAAAUGUCAAAAGUAUGGUAACUACUCUAGUGAUUGUCCGGAAAAACAAAAGAAUCAAGAUAAUGAUGUAAAGUUUGCAAAGCAUGAGGAAGAAGAAAUGUUGUUGAUGGUCACAACAAGAGAUGAAGAAAGAUUUCAGGACCAAUAGUAUUUGGACUCAGGAUGCUCAUCACUCAUGACUGGUAGGAAAGAUUGAUUUGUCAACAUGAAACCUUCAAUGAAGAACAUGGUAAAAUUUACAAAUGACAAUACUCUAGUAGAUAAAGGUAUUGAUGAUGUUCUAAUUAUGAGGAAAGAUGGCAAGAUGUCAAUAAUUUCCAAUGUAUUGUAUAUACCAGGCAUGAAAAGUGAUUUGCUCAGCAUAAGGUAGUUGGUCGAAAAGAACUACAAAGUGUCGAUCAAAGAAAAAAUGAUGAGAGUUUUCGACUCGGGUGGAGGAUUAAUCUUGAAGGCACCCAUGUCUCAGAGUAGAACCUUCAGGAUUGAACUUAAUGUGAUGGAGCAUAAAUGUCUUGCAACUGCAGCUAGCUGAGAUGAAUGAAUAUGACAUUAUAGAUUUGGUCAUCUUAACUUCAAAGGCAUCAGAGAUCUGAAGAGAAGAAAUAUGGUUUCAGGGUUACCAGAAAUUGAUAUUCCAAACGAAGUGUGUAAGAAAUGUGUGCAGGCGGAGUAGCACAAGAACAACUUCAACAAGGAUGCAUGAAGAAAGUCGAAGGCAAUCUUGUAAGUCAUAUACUCUGAUGUGUGUGGUCCUAUCCAGGUGGAUUCGUUGGAGGUAACAAAUACUUUGUCACAUUCAUAGAUGAUUUAAGUCGAAAAUUAUGGACUUACUUGAUUAAGGAGAAAAAUGAAGUGAUCGAGAUAUUUGUCAAGUUUAAAUCUAUAGUCGAAAGCUCAAGAUUCUGAGGACUGAUGGUGGUGGAGAAUAUGUAUCGAAAGAUUUCGACAUGUUAUGUGAGAAAUAAGGGAUCGUGAAUGAGUGGUGGCACCAUACACUCCAUAAUAUAAUAGAACUGCAGAAAGGAAGAAUAGAACCAUCAUUAAUAUGGUGAGAAGUAUGUUGAAAGACAAACAUCUACCCAAAGAAUUAUGGGGAGAAGCUGUGUCGACAAUAACAUAUAUUUUGAAUAGAUGUUUGACGAAGAAGCUAGAUGAAAGCACGCCAGAAGAAUGUUGGUCUGGUGUCAAGCCUAGCUUGAGUUAUCUGAAAGUAUUUGGAUCUAUAGUACAUAGACAUGUGGCAGAUCAAUUGAGAAGAAAACUUGAUGAUAAUUUGAGUCAGAUGAUCCUAAUAGGGUAUCAUUCGACUGGAGGUUACAAGUUGUUUGACCCAGUGAGCAAGCAAGUAGCGAUCAACAGAGACGUGAUCACAAAUGAGCUUAAGGAAUGAGAUUGGACUGAAAAUGUCAAAAAAGAUUAAGUGAGAAUCUUAUGUGAAGAACCAGCAAGUGAAGUCCAAGGAGAAGUUCGACAAGAAGAAGUCAGAGGUCAAGCAAGCACAAUCAGAUCUUAGAGAACAAGAAACAUGCCUGCAAGGUUGUAGGAAUGUGUGAUUACAUCAGAUGAUGCAUUUGAUGAUGAAGGUGAGCUGGUACACUAUGAUUUCUAUGCAGAUGUUGAACCAAUCAAUACAGUUGAAGCAUUGAAGGAUUUGAAAUGGGUGAAAAUAAUGAAUGAGGAACUGAAGUCCAUUGAAGUCAACAACACUUGGUCACCUGUCGAAUUUCCAAAUAAGGCAUUUGAUGUGAAGUGGGCAUACAAGGUGAAGUUGAAUUCCAAAGGAGAAGUAACUUGACACAAGACUAAGCUUAUGGCGAAAGGAUUUCUUCAGAAGGAAUCGACUUUGAUGAAGUUUUUGCACCUAUUGCUAGGAUCGAAACAAUCAGGUUGGUUGUUGGUCUAACAAACAGGAACAACUGACACAUAUAUCAGAUAGAUGUGAAAUGUGCAUUCCUGAAUGACCCUUAAAUGAAGAAGCGUAUGUUGCACAACCAACUAAAUUUAUGAAACUUGACAAAGAAAUCAAAGUAUAUAGACUGCAUAAAGCCAUGCAUGUAUAUAAAAACGUUUCAAUAAAAAAUAAUUAAUCUACUAUAUCAUAUUCAUCAUAUAUCAUCAUCAUAAAAAGUCAAAACAUAAAUUUUGUGUAACUUUUUUUCCUUCUAAAUAUACCCUUUUAAUUUUUAUUUUAAAGUAACUUCUCUUUUCCACAAACGAUAAUUAUACGACGAUUUAUUAUUUUUUAUAUUAUUAUUUUUAACUAUUUUAUAAAUAAUUUAAAAUUAAAUUAAAAUUUAAUAAAAGUAUAAUAUAAUAUAUAUUUUAUAUGCAUUAAUAUUAAAGUAUUAAAAACACAGACAGGUAAAUAGUAAUAUGUAUAAUUUAAAAAUAUUACCACAAUCGAAUACGUGGAAUUGGAAUACACAUUGGUUUUUGGUUAUCAAUAUAAAAAAAAGUUAGACUUAAAUAAUCUUUUGAUUUCGGUGAGUUAGAGAUUUUUUUGAUUUUAUUCCCUGUGAUUUGAAUUUUUGAUUUUGAUAUCUUUAAUUUGAAUUUUUGAUUUUGGUCAUUGUAAUUUAUUUUUUUUGAUCUGACUCCCUGUAUCUUACUUUUGUUAGGAAAUCUAAGGAUUUAGAGACUAAAAUCAACCCAAAGAAUAAUAUAUAGGGACUCUGAAAAAAAUUAAGUUUCAAAACAAAAAUCCGCUAAUUUAUAUUUUAGUUUAAAAGAAAAAUUAUAUUAAGAAAUAAAAUUGCACAAGAAGAGUAAAAGUACAAUUAAAAACAAAAAAAUAAACUUUACAAUUCAAUACAUAAAAUAUUUAUUUUUUGACACUGUUGCAUAGCUUCUCCUGCUUCAAAUUGAAACUCAUCCCAAAAUCAAAUUGAAUCACAAAAUGGGUCACUCAGAAAUCUUCAAUUCCGCUCGAAAUUUCGCAGUUAUGGUCAGAAUUCGCGGUCCUGUAAGUUUCUCUCUUUCUCUCUGGUUAAUCCCAGUUCUGCAUAAUCAUGAUCACUCAACUUGCAAUUUCAUCUUUCAGGACCCAAAAGGAAUGAAGAUGAGAAAACACGCUUUUCAUCAUUACCGGUUCUUUGACCUAUCCAUUAUCUACUACUUUUCCUUUUCUUAAUUCAAAGUUUCGUUUUUUUGAAUUUAUGUUUAUGUGGGCUUUGUUUUCUUCUUCUGGGUAUGUGUAGUUCUGGUGAGACAACUCUUUCUGCUUCUGGGUUGCUUGUACCUGAUACCCUUUGUGAUACUCAAGUAGCUAAGCGUUUAUAUGGUGAUAGGUUUGAGGAUAGGGUAUUGGUUGUGACGGUUGCUUCGGUUGUUGAGCCUUUUCUAUCUCCUCAUCAUAGAGAGAAUAUUCCUCAGGUUUGUAUUUGGUGCUCAUAGUUCAUGGAUUCAGUUGUAGAUUAAAUGUUUAAAUGAUGUUUUAAUGCACAAGUUUGACGACAAAAUUGGACUGUAGUUUGAAUAGUUAACUCAAUUUACUUAGGUUAAGUAGAUGAUUAAUGAAAUAAACAAUUCAUUAACCAUUAACUACAAUUUUAACAUUGUUAAGCACAGUCAUCAAUUGUUCAAAUAUACAUGAUUCACCACUUCAAAGUCAUCCUGGUUAAUUGUGUUUGGUGGAUGAUAAAUGAGUUGCGAUACCUUGUUAUUAUCUAUUAACCAUGUGUUUGAAUUAAGUUAACCAACACAUUCAAGUUGGGUGGUUGAAAUGGAGGAGUAUUUCAGGUGUUUUAUGUGACACCAAAGUACAACUCAAACUGAAGGAAAAGUUUUAUAGGACAAUUGUAAGAUAUGUUGUACGAGAAAUAAUGUUGGGCGGUAAAGAACCAACACGAAAGUAAAAUAAAUUUAGUAGAGAUGAAGAUGUUUGGUAAGACUAGACGAGAUAAGAUUAAAAAUGAAAAUAUUAGAGUAUUGGGGUAGCACAUAUAGUACAAAAGAUGGUGGAAAGUACGUUUAGAUGGUUUGGGUAUGUAGAGAGAAAACACGUGGAGUAUAGUCAAACACCUAUCAGCAUAGGAAGACCUAGAAAAACUAUAUAAGAAAUUAUAAAGAAAGAUCUCGAGAUUAACGAAUUGGAUCGACACAUGAUUUUUGAUAGAACAUUAUGUCGUAGUUUGAUCCAUGUAACCGGUCCCACUUAGUGGGAUAAAGCUUGACUGUUGUUGUUCUUGAAUUGACUUAACCAUCUAAAUUGUUGUCAAAUUUUGUUGUCUCAUGGGAUAGCUCCAUAAAAUGUGCUAACUUUAUUUACUUCCAUGUUUAUUAUAUUUAAUAUGUUUUGAAUUUCUAUUUUAUGCUUUUCAGGGUAGGCCUGAUUUGAUUUCUGGUGUUCGAAUUGAUAUUAUGACAGAGAAAACCAAUGAAGAAUCUGAUCAAGGAACUCCGAGUUGGCUUGAGGGGCAGCUAUUGUCAUUAGUAGGCAUUUUGAGUUUCUCUAUGUUGUUCCUUACUAUGCCUUCUUCUUUAAAAUUAAUAAUUUGGUGCUCCUGAUGGUCUAUAUUUUUAAAUGACUGAUUAAAGUUUAAAACGCGUUCAUCCCUGUGAAUUGCUCGGGUUUUGUUCAUCCCUGUGAAUUACAUGAGUUUAAUUUGAUUGUUUGUUAUCCACAAUUUGUAAUAAUUUGUUUCCACGUACAGGUUGAUAUUCCUGCUUCAGCCCUUUGUGUACAGUCACUUGUUGAAACGUCUCGAGGCUUGUCAGAGCAUGAAUGGGAGGUUGGUUGGUCUUUGGCAUCUCACAAUAACGAAUCUCAAUCCUCUAAAGAUAAUUUUCAAACUCAGGUUAUUCCUUUUCUUUCUUCAUAAUUAGGUUACUUUAUUGAUUGUUAUGAAUCAAGAAAGGGUUAGAAAGUUAUGUCUUGAAAAGUAGGUUUAACAGAAAUAAUGUUUUUUCCCUGGAUAUUGCGUUAACGAUUUAAUUUGUGCGCACUAUUUUACACAUGCAUCCAAUCACAUCUCACCAUGUAGAUAAUUAUGGAAAUAUUUUAGAAACUAGUGUAACAAUGUGACAUCAGAGAGUGAUUUGAUUGGAUGCAUGUGUAAAAAUGUUUUACACUGUCGGUACAUUGAAAUUGGUUUCUAAUAUUCCGGUCUUUUGCUUAUAAAGUAUUAAAGUUUCUUUAUUCUUCUUCUAUUUGAUAUUUGGAAAUGUCAUCUCCGUAAUCCAAUGCAUAAAAAGAAACUCAUUAUUUCGGAUGAAGAAUGAUAAAUCAUCUUUGAAAUGUCAGGGGAGGAUAUCGGAGGGAGGAUCGGGUAGUUCAAGUGUUAUGUGCAAAUCACUGACUAGAAUGGCCAUUCUUAGUGUUUCUUUAUCUCUCAAGGUAUUUUUCUGGAAACAGUUAUAACAUAAUGAUUACACCUUGCACAUGUAAUUAUUUUUCUAUUUGGUGUUCUUUCAUUUUUUGUCUUUCUAGACUCAUGAGAAUAACAUGUUGAUGCAUGUAACAUAGGACUCACUGAACUAUCAAAAACCUUCCAUGAAUAAAAGGGGUGAUUUCCUUCUGGCAGUUGGGUCUCCCUUUGGAGUUCUAUCAUCUACACACUUCUUUAACAGGUAUUAUAUUCUCGUCUGGCUAAAAGAAAAAAAAUAUAGAAUAACCUAACUGGUAGUUACUUUCAAAAUGGUAUCUUGUCAUGGUAAAUUUUCUUAGUCACCUUGAUGUAACACAUGGUCAUUAUAUGCCAUAAAAUGUUGAUCCAUGGAUUGAAACAUGGUCCUAGAUAGAAUAUUAUGACGAAAAUUGAUCUAUGUAACCGACCCCACUUAGUGGGAUAAGACUUGGUUGUUGUUGUUGUUGUAUAUGCCAAAAAAAUUCAGGUGAGUUGUUGGCUAUGAAGCAUAGACACCUCUAAGAUUAGGCGUGUCGCAGUGUCUGACACUUGUAAGAUACCCGUAUGACACGUGUUGGAAAACUCAAUCAAGUGUCCGUGUUGUGUCCUGGUAUUUAUGUCAGAGUCCGUGCUCCAUAGGUUGUUGGGGUCACUUGUGUGUUCAGCUGAGUUGUACAAGCUUCUAUUUGUCUAUAUAAUGCUGUGAUGAAUAAGUGGAUAUCUAUGUUUGACAUUAUUUGUAUCAUUCAGUCUUCUGAUUCGGUUGCCUGCUUGAAUCAGUUUAUCAGUUGGAUGCAUUGCAAAUUGUUAUCCUCCUAAUUCAUCUGAUGGAUCGUUGCUGAUGGCUGACAUACGCUGUCUUCCUGGUAUGAGCAGUUUCUCUGUUGCAUAAUUUAGGUCAUUUAUGAAAUUGGUUUUUUAUGACACUCUACCUGUCAGGAAUGGAAGGCAGUCCAGUUUUCAACGAGCAUGCGUGUCUUACUGGUGUCCUGAUCAGACCAUUGAGACAGAAGACAAAUGGAGCUGAAGUUCAGGUAGUUCCUUGAACGUGUUUUUCUCUCGGGAUCUGUUUGUGUUGACUUAUUUGAGUUUAUCUACUAGCAUAAGCAUUUAUAAAACUGUUUGGGAGACCACAUCGAAACAACUUUAUGAUAAGUUUUUCAGAAUAUUUCCAUAAACUAUUCAAGAUAGCUUAUAAAAAUAGUUUAUAUCUUAUAUGAAAACAAUUUGACUUUAUUAUAUUUUUUUGUAAAAGAAACACUUAUGCUAUAAACACUUAAUUAAGCCGUUUAUUCAAAUAGAGCCUAUGUCUAACAUUAUAUAAAACUUUUCAAAUUUAACUCAUCAUGCAAUACUGUAGUCUUUGGUAACAGCUGGUGAUUCCAUGGGAAGCCAUUGUGAAGGCUUCUAGUGGCUUGCUGCGGACAUGUCCUCAAAACACAACAGAAGGAUUACAUUAUCAAGAGGGAAACUCUUAUGCUCCAGGAAAGAGACCUUUUAUCGACUACGAGAGAUCAGAAACUCGUGUACCUUCUAGUAAUAAACACGAGCAUUUAAAUUUUGGUAGCUCUUCACCAUUACUAAUCGAGAGGGCAAUGGCUUCUGUAUGUCUUAUUACUAUUGGUGAUGGAGUAUGGGCAUCUGGCGUUUUGUUAAACAGUCAAGGUCUCGUACUUACAAAUGCCCAUCUGUUAGAACCUUGGAGAUUUGGGAAAACUCAUGUAAGCGGCAGAGGAUAUGGAACCAACCCGGAAAAUUUUCCUUCCAUAUUGGAGGGAACUACUCUUGAGCAGAGGAGAUAUAAAUUGAACCCAACUUAUGACAACCAUAGAAAUAUACGUGUACGGCUUGAUCAUAUCAAGCCUUGGGUUUGGUGUGAUGCUAAAGUAAUAUAUGUCUGUAAAGGACCGUGGGAUGUUGCCUUACUGCAGCUUGAACCAGUUCCGGCUAAUCUUUUGCCUAUUGUAACAAGUUUUUCCAGGCCAUCCACAGGAUCAAAGGCAUAUGUCAUUGGCCAUGGAUUAUUUGGCCCGAAGUGUGGUAAGUCCUUGCAAACCUAAUUAAUUAUUUUUUUUCUUGGUUCGAUUCCAUGUCAUGAAUGCCAGUGAUAUUCGUUCAAAACGAUAUAUUCCAUGUUACUCUUGACUUUUGUGGCUACGCAUUUCUUAAUAUAUAUGUUUGGUGAUUGGUUGGGACAUAGUGUGCAGUUUCUUUCUAUUUUGUUUAACAUCCGAAGUGAUCUAUUUUCAUUAGGAUUCUUCCCAUCUGUUAGCUCGGGUGUGGUAGCGAAAGUGGUUGAAGCAAAGACUCCUCAAUCUUAUCAUUCCAUUCUACCCGAGCACAUGCAUACCCGUGUCCAUUUCCCAGCAAUGCUUGAAACAACAGCUGCUAUUCAUCCUGGUGCUAGUGGCGGUGCUGUUAUCAAUUCAGACGGUCACAUGAUUGGUCUGGUUACAAGGUAAUGCCACUAACCUAUUUUUUUGGAUGUAAUUCUUUAUCAUUGACUUGUAUUUACAUAUAAUGCUUUUGAUACAGCAAUGCAAGGCACGGCGGUGGAUCGAUAAUACCUCAUCUUAAUUUUAGCAUUCCAUCUGCAGCUUUGGCACCUAUCUUCAAGUUUGCAAAAGGUGUAAUUUCAAAAAAUCAUUUUUAGUUUUUGUUUACUUGGUCUCCACAUGGUAGAUUGACAUGUUAUGAUAUGACUCCUCUCCCACUACAGACAUGCUUGAUUCAUCACUUUUGCGGAUUCUAGACGAACCGGACGAGUACAUUUCAUCUAUUUGGGCGUUGAUGCGACCAUCUCCUCCAAAGCUCAAUCCCGCACCUGAUCAACCACAGUCUCGACUAGACAAUAAAAGCAAAGAAGAGAAGGGUUCUCAGUUUGCUAAGUUUAUUGCUGAAAGAAAGGAUAUUUUCAAUGACCCUAUUCAUGUUGGAAAGAGUGGAGUGCUUUCUAAGGAUGUUAUUCCUAGUAAGUUAUGAUGUCUGUUGAAAAUCAUUGAAGUUUACUUGAGCUGGAUGAGAAAGCAUUGCCUGAAAGUAAUGUCUAAUGUAUUUCCUUGUGAUCUGUAUUUUUUGGAUUUGGAGAUUAUGUACUUUUUAUUACUGAUUAGUGAUAAGAAAAUCCAGGAAAUAUUUUUUUGUACUUUGUAUAAAUGAAAAUAUUUUCACCAACAUUUUUGUUUGUUUUUUUGACUUAAUUGCAUUUUUAAAGCAUAUUCAAAUAAAUAACUGUUAUGUAUAAAUGAAAAUAUUUACUUUUGCAGAAGCAUUAUUAUUAUUAUUAUAAUAUAAUAAUAAUAAUAAUAAUAAUAAUAAUAAUUAUUUAUUCUUAUUAUUAUUAUUAUUAUUAUUAUUAUUAUUAUGUUAACUCACUUAGACAUUUUUAUUCCGGUUGACCUCAAGUCCGUGCCACUGGUGUUACGAAGUAUUGUCCACUUUCAGUGUAAGUGUGAGAACACCGUCGACUUUGUCUUUUAAAAAAGAUGUCUCAAAGGAUGAAGAGUGAGUAUUAUAUAUAAACUAUACUUAUUCUUGAUUUAUGUGAGACUAUUUUACACAUCAUGCCGACUUUGUCUUUUAAAAAAGAUGUCCCAAAGGAUGAAGAAUGAGUAUUAUAAUAAACUAUACUUAUCCUUGAUUUAUGUGAGACUAUUUUAGACGGUCCAAAAUAGUUGUCCUCCCAAUCAAGGCUAAGGGCUAGGGUGCUAGCAUGUGAUUUGAGUUCUAACUUCUUAUUCUAGCGCCAAUGUUGUAGUUGACUCUAAGUCCACACCAUAGUAAUGAUGAGAUAUUGGGUUAGGGUGCGAGCACGUGGUUGAGUUCUAACCUCUUAUUCUAACGCCAAUGUUCUAGUUGACUCUAAGUCCACACCAUAGUAAUUACAAGAUAUUGUCUGUUUUGGAUGUGAGAACUCUUAUGAUUUUAUCUUUUAGAAAAUGUAUCUUGUUAGAUUAUGAAGCGUCCCAAGCAAUGUGAGACUAUUUUGGACAAUCCGAAACAGUUGCCCUCCCUGUCGAGGCUAAGGGCUAGGAUGCAAACAUGUGGUUCUGAGUUCUGACCCCUCAUUCUAGCGCCAAUGCUUUGGCCGACUCUAACUUAACACCACUGUAAUUAUGAGAUAUUGUCUGCUUUGGAUCCUAUUGGUUUUGUCUUUUAAAAAAUGUAUCUCGUUAUAUUGUGGAGUGUGAGUAUUCUAUAUAAAUUAUUCUUAAGAAAAUUAUUUUUGCAGAAGAAUAUUACGCAUGAUUGAGGUUGGUAUCUAAUGUCUUUCAAGCGCCACAUGAUGAAUUUUACCAUGCUUAUUUAUACAAAAGAUCUAUGGAAAUAGGAGUCACUUUGAUCUUAAUUCUUAUAAAAAAUCUCUUUCAAAUAAUCUCUGCAGUUUUAAAAUAUUUUAAUUUGAUCUCUCAUUUGAUUUUUUUUUUCUAAACUGGAUAAAUUUUGAUUUUGAUGGUAAAGCAUAUCAUUAUGCCAAAUUAAUCCCGAUUCACCACUUUACAACACUAAUUAUAAGUUAAAUAGUCAGAGUUGCACUUUAUUGUAAAUUCCACUAUACAACCUAGACUUCUCUUUCUAAGCUAGAAGUCAUAACACUUCACUUCAAGUGUUAUUCUUUUCGGCAAUGUUAUUCCUACACCCAUUUUAUACACCAAUACUUAUAUCGUAUACACUGUUCACCAUAUUUAUACGGUGAAUAGUAUUUUUUUAAUAAAAAAAGUAUUUUAUGAACAGUGUUAUAAAUAGUAUCAUGAACAGUAUCUUGUGAAUAUUAUUCAUGAACAGUAAUUUUAAAUAGGGAAACAAAGUUGGUUAAUAAGAUAUAAAAAAUUGGUUACUGAUGUGAUAAAACCGGUUAAUUAACACACAACUAUUUAAAAUAAUUUUUAAUGUAAAAUAAAAUUGGUUAAUAAAAUAUAAAAAGUUGGUUAAUGGAGUGAUGAAAGUGGUUAAUAAACAUUCAGAUAUUAAAAAUAUUUUUUUAUAAUAAAACAAAGUUGGUUAAUAAAAUAUAAAAUAUUUGAUAAUAAAAAUAUAAAAUUGAUUAAUCAUAUUAAUUUUAAAAGUAAUAAUAAUAGUUUUUAUAUUUUUAUAAAAAAUAUUUAUUAUUAUAAUAUUUCAAAUACAUUUAUAUCUAUUAAAAUAUAAAGAAAAGAUAAUAUAGGUGUAAUAGGAGAGAGAAUUUAAUAAUAAAAAAUUAAAAAUGUAUUAUUUAUGGUGUAGGUGUAAGAAAGUGGUGUAGAAAUAUCAUAUCUGAUUCUUUUUAAGCGCUUACAUUUCCUCAAAACAACUUCUUUCUACUUUGGAUCAUUACGAGCUUCUUUAAAAGUAAAUGUAGAACGAGAGGAAGAUUAAUUGAAAUAUGAUAUAUCCCUAAAUAUAGGAUAUAAGAUGUUUGGUGCAAAUUCUAACAUUUUCUAAUUAUUUACAAGAACUGAAUUCACACUAGCCUAGAGUUUUACAUUUUUGUAUUAAUAGGCUGAUUCCCCGUGUUCAUUAUUGAGAAUGUAAUCACUCACUUGUAACAUAAGCUAACUGUCACAAACGACAUUUUUAAGAAUUAAUUAGUUAGCUGAUUUUUUAAGUAUAAAAACACUUGUCAUAUCAUGCUCAAUCAAUAAGAGCAAUUUGAAGCAACUCUCGAAAGAUCGUUGGACCUGUUGAAACAAAAUCAGAUUGCGUUAAGAGAAGAUGUUGACCUAGUGAAAAACAAAUUAGACCAAUUCACGGAGGCCAUGAUACACAUACAAUGCUCUUUACCUUGCAAUAACACUUGAAGUUGAUGUGAAGUUAUUGCAUUCAAACCAUGAAGGUGACACCCACAUCGGAAGACAUUGACCGAGAAUUGUAAUUUAAAACCAAUUUAUAUUAAAGCUUUGAUGCUAAAAUGAAACGAGACAUUACAAAUUUGGUUAUAUGUGGCUUUUAGCAAGUACAAUUAGCACCCACCAUGGGUAAAACUGACUUGGGCCACCAUUGCAUCAGACAGUCUGAUUUCUAUACACAUCUUCAACUCAUCUUUCAAUAUGGUGAACAAGAAGGUAGUAACUCCGAAUAACAAUAGUACCGAUGAUGAGGAUGCCAUGGAAGAAAUGCAUCCCACUAUGGAUGACUUAUGCUGCAAGAAUCAAACUUUUGAGGACAACUUCAUUCACAUCAAAGAGAGACAUCUAAGGCUAAAAAGACUAAGGUUCGGGAAUCCUAACCUCUCUCUAAUGAAAUAUAGGGGGCAUGAGUGCCAGAGAACUUCAACCCGCCAUUACUUUCCCAAUAACAUCUCAUCUCUGUCAACACACAAAUGGAAACUAUUGGAGCUUCUGAUUCACUGAAAUGUAAGCUUGUCUCUGGAGUCUUUAGGGAUGCGACACUGAGGUGAUACAUGGGCCUACCAAGGUUCUCAAUACCCAAUUAUCAGGACCUAGCAAAGAAAUUAGUCCACCAGUUUGUGACAAGCAAGCACCGAAGGUGUCUACCACCAGUCUGUUUAACAUUCACCAAGGCACUACUGAAUCUUUGAGGGAAUAUCUCACCCAAUUUAAUGAGGAAAUUAUCAAGGUUUUCCACCCUAACUAAGAGAUAUUCGUCAGAUAAUUCCAAAAUAGACCGAGGGUUAAGCAUUUUAAUGAAUCCAUUGCCAAAAGGCCUGCAAAUUCCUUGGAGAAGGUAGUGAUGUGGGCAAAAUGCUAUUUAAAGGGAAAGGAAAGCAAUAACGAAAAGAAGGCCAUAUAUGUUAAUGAAUAUACAACUAACAACUCUAAUAACUCAUAGUAGUCGCACAUGAAUCACUAUGCCUUUCCUGCCUGAGAAAUGGCGACCUUCAGAUGAAGUGGGAGAGCUACAUAGAGUUUCAUGCCCUUGAACACACACCAUGAGUAGAUAUGGUGUGAGGUCAUCCAUAAACAUAACAUUUCUCUUCCUCUAAAUCCCAAGUCAGACAUAAUAGGGGCAUGAACCUAGUAGAUGGUGCAAGUUUCACAAGGUCAAAGGGCACCACACAAAAGACAGCUAUGAAAUCAAGAAAGAUAUAUAACGCCUCAUCCAAGUGGGCCACUUGAAGGAAUAUGUCAAAGGAGGUUCCACCUAGAUCCUAGGCGGAUCCAACUCUCAAUGGUGAGAUAAUUAUGGGAGUCCCAGACCUAAGAAAGGCAAGGAACCAAGAAAGGAUAAAGGGCGAAGAAAAACAUAUAUGCCACACCCUUAACACCUUAGCAUGAUGAUCAUCUAGAGGUUGGGAGACUAUCUCUUCUCGUAGAAGGUACACACGCCAAAUUCUAACCAUCAUGGGCUCGUCCACGAGGCUAGACUUUGGAGAGAAUGGAAACUUGGAGUCUGAGAUCACCUUCUUAGAGAAGGACACAUAAGGAAUCCAUCCGCAUGACAAAGACCUCAUGGUCAUAACCGUAAGGUGUGAUGAGUGGAAGAUUAAGAGACUACUAAUUGAUCAAGGAAGCAUUUCAUACAUCCAUUAUUAGGGCGCUUUUGAAAAACUCUUCCUGGAUUUGGACGAACUCAAAGCUUUCCAAGGCUAACAGGUAGGAUUCUCAAGCGUAGAAGUGCAUGUAAAGGGUUAUAUUACCCUAAAUACCAUGUUUGGAGCUGAGAAGACCACAAGGUUGAUCAAGGUAAUAUAUCUUUUUAUAGAUGCAUAUUCUUUAUAUAACAUGAUUAUAUGACGACCUACUUUCAACCAACUUGGAGUCGCUAUGUCCAUAAUAUAUCUUUGCAUGAAAUACUCACUCCCUGAAGGGAGAGUUAGCGUUAUCAACAGGGACUAGAAGAUUUCUAGGAGGUGUUAGCUAGAGAGUCUAAAGUUAAAGAAGGCGACUAUGGUCAUGGUCCACAAUCAGCAGCUAGACGCAUAGGAAGUAAACAUUGCAGACUUGAAGUUGGUAGUCAAACCAUAAGAGACAACUAUCAAAGACAAAUAUUUGACCGCCUUACUUCAGAGGAGCAAGAAGGUGGUAGAUGAAUAGACUAGUUAGGAACCAUUAAUUGCUUUAGGCGUUAUGCCAUGCUUGGAUUAAUUUAAUAUAUCAUUUGGAUUGAUUAAUGAGAGGCAUAAUUUUUGUCAUGUGCAUGGUUUAUUUUUCAUGACAUUCUUUGUUUUGUAUGGGGGUACUAUUUACCUUGCAUUGGUUGUGAUGAACAUGGGUUUUUAAUGAGGUACCACACGUUAUUUAUAUAAGUUUUGAAAUAUUGUUGCUUUGUUUUUGCAGGAAUUUAGGAUUGGAAUGAAAAGUCUUAUCAAAACCUUCCACAAGGCAACCACUUAUGAUGGAUCCUCAUGGAGAAAUCCUUGCCGCCCACAGGGAAAUUACUUAUAUUGGAUCCUCAUAGAGGCGUCCUUGUCGCCCAUAAAGGCAAAUACUUAUGCUGGAUCCUUACAUAGGAAUCCUUAUCAUCCAUAAAGACAAUAAAUUAUGUUGGAUCCUCAUAGAUGAAUCCUUUCCGCCCAUAAGGGAAAUCACUUAUAUUGGAUCGUCAUGAAGGAAUCCUUGUCGGGUUAUAUAGUGGAGAGAAACCUAAUCAAAGCAUUAUAAAAAUAAACAUUUGUACAAGAAAAGUAAGGAAAAGGCAUAUGAUUCCACCACUUCAUUAAUCAAAUCCCAAAGGGGAAAAGGUAUAAGGAAAGCCCUUUAGGACGCCAUUAGUCAUUACAAAAAUCCCUAAGGGAAUGGUCACAAAAGCUUUAGGGGUGUGGUUACAAAAAAAAGGGCCACACAUGACAAAAACUAAGAAGCCCCGGGCUCAGUGACCCUCAUAUUGAACCCACCAUUCUUUAGGAAUACUCCCAUGGCGAACACAAUCCUUCUAUGGAGUUUUCACGUCCUCCAUAUUGUCGCCUUUAGGCUCAGUCUUGGCACCCCGUCAAGAGACACGCCAUACCCAAUAUGAGGUGACACUUAUUCUUCUUCUUCCACCAAUUGGCUAUCACAUAUUCUAUGAAUUAUUCCAUUUCACUUAGGUUUAGUUCAGGAUAGAAGAAGGCCAUUUGCUCUUUCGCACUCUCAAAUAAAUGGUCAGAAGUGUCCACUAAUUCAUCUUUAAGCAUGAAUAAAACUUCCUCCAGUUUCUUCUUAUAAUUGAUGACCUCCUUGAUAGAUUCUUUUAGGCUCAUCUCUAAUGGAGCAAGAGUACAUGCCUUUAGCGCAACCGUGUUAAAUUUGGAUAUAAAAUCCUCAUUAUCUUUGACUAGUGUCCUCACUAUCUCCUGACCAUUAGCAAGGCUUCCCUUAGAAAUGGAGAGUUAUGACUUUAGCUCGUUCACUUCUUGGGUCUGGUCAUCACAUUGGAAUCGUGCCAUCAAUAGACUACUUAGAUAACUUAUUGGGCGCUGUGUUACGAAUGUCCUUAUAGUCACCUGGAAAGUCUUUAGGAAAAUGGAGGUGAGUGUCGUUGAAUUUUAAGGCAAUGAAUGUUGUAUCAAUCCACAUCGAGGGUUUAGGAAACAAGUCAUUCCUUAUUGGUGAAGAGUGAUUUCCCAUGUUAUCCUCUUCAGGAAUUACUAUUGUAUCCUUAGAGGCCUGAGAAUAAUCUCGACUUUGUCUCUAGACUUUAGUGGGGCGAUUCUCAUCAGGGACUUCUCCUUCAAAAUUCCUUUUUAUCCCCUUCAUCAUAAGGCCACCCAUGUGACUUUUGGGGUCUUCCUCCUUCUUGGCCAAUCGCUCAUUCCUUUCAGCCAAUGGGAUGGAAUACAUUUUCUCUGCAAAGUGAUGUAAAGAAAACAUGAGUAAUCUAACGAGUAAAAAAAAUCCUAAAAUGAGGGUCACUAUGAUCUUUUACUUAUUCAUAUAUUUGUCUAUCUCACUUCCUUUUCACUAAUCUAGUAUUAUCAUGGUGUGAGAGCUCAUGAGUUUGAACUCGUCUACGAGUUUAACCACCUCCCUCUAAACAUGGGUGAUAAAGUCAAAGUUAAAGCCAAUGAUUGCCAUUGUAUUCUCCAUCCAAGACAAAGGGAAUAGAGGGGUGCCAUCCACCCCAAUCGUUACAAUGGAGGCACCGUAUUUCCCCCUAACCCUCACGAACCAUUCCUUCUAAUUUUUGUAGUGGUUGAAAUGGGGCUUGAAUAAAGCUCUUCCCGAUAGGGGGAUUAAAACCACCCAGCCGCCUUUGGUGCUUCUCUUGGUACCAUAGAAAGAAAGGAACAUCCCUAUGGUAGGGAAGACUACCAUUCGCUAAUAUAUAAUUUUGAACUCCCUAAUCACGCUCCAGUCAUUGGGCGUAAUCCGAGAAAGAGCAACAUUUGCAGUCACUAGAACCUUAACCUCAAAUACGGUAAAUGGAAUUAGAAUCCAUAAAUCAUGAAUGACAGGAAGUUAUAGAUAGAAGUAAGGGGGGGGGGGUCAAGACAUUUAGGGAAUCCAUGUUGGUUCACUUUUCGUUGGAGUACGCCUCCAAAAUUCAGAGGUGAAUGUAUGCUUUAUUUGUUGUACUCUGAUGAAGUCUCGCGAGAAAUUCAGAGAAGAGGAUAUGCGAAAAGAUAAAAUGGUGAGAGCUGACCCCUUUUAUACAGGAUCCUAAAGCUAGCCAUAUGGGGUAUUAAAUGACCAAUCACUAGGUUCUCUAAUAUUUGCAAAGGAUUACUCACAUUUCUAACACGUGUUGUGUAAGAAAUUAAAGCCAAUUUGGCUUCCCAAGAAAAAAUCAUCAUUGAUCAAGUUUAAUGAUGCACAUGCAUUUACCUCAACUGAAGUUUGAGUAUCUACCUCAAUUAAAGUUUGAGUAUUCACCUCAUUGACACUCGAAGCUUUUUCCUAGGUCAUACUUGAUGAACUUUCCUUAGACCAUACUUGAAGGACUCACCCUAAGCAUGCCCGAGGGACUCGCCACAUGUCACGCUUGAGGGACUCGUCUAAAUGCGAAGAGGCGCUAAAACUAAAUCACUUUGUCCUUUACAAGCCCUCGUGCUUAAGGGACUGUGUAUUGAUAUAUUUUUAAAGGAUCCACACUAGACAACACGAGAUUCACCCAAGACAGGCGAAUAUCACACCUCUCAUAAAGUAGGGUGACUAGCCGCCCAAUCCUCACAACACACAUCCAUUUAUCAUAAUGUUCACCCAUUAUCUGUAGCAUUCACUAUUUAAUUAAAUUGAUCGCCUCAUAGGCUUGAAUAAAAUUACUCGUUGCCCACUUAAGAAACAUGGGGAUUGACAUGACCUAAAGCACUAACGACAUGGAAGCCCAGUUAGAUAAGGAAAUACAUGUUCUCCUAAUGAAUAGGUGGAAUAACCAUGCUCCUAGAAGGAACAUAAUAGCCGUAGCUUGAGUCCUAGGAUACAUAACUAAUAAGUAUAUAUGAAUAUCUCAACCACUGGGUUGAGAGAGGACAUUCAUUCUACUGAGCAAUCACCUAUACACAAUGCUUCUCACAGUGAGCUUGCUCUAACACAACAACAACAUUAAAAUCCUUAGACAACCCUUCACACCUAGGGAUUUACACUAAUUAUUCUUUUAGCAAGUAUAUGAUCCAAUGAAAGUAUUAAAGAAGAAACACAAUUUGCACAGGAAGUAAUGACUUUUAUGAGGUGUUACCAAUGGCCAGUACACAUUUAGCACAAGAUAAGGUAAAUUUUUUGUAUCUUAACAUAGGUUGCAAUAAUCACAUGACUGUAAAAAAACUUGUUUAUCAAGCUUGAUAAAUCAAUAAGAAGAGCCAUUAGGUUUGCUGAUAAUAAAAAAAUUCACAUCUUAGGGCAUGUAGAAAAUUCUUGUGAAGAGGAAGGAUGGUCCAAAAGAUAUAAUAAGUGAUGUGUUAUAUGUUCCUUCAAUGGAAAGAAACCUGAUUAGUUUUGGAAAACUACUUGACAAGAACUACAUCAUGAGGCUAGAGUACAAGGAAGUGAAGGUAUUUCAUGAAAAUUCCAAACUAAAUGCAAAAGCACCUUUGUCAACAGGCUUAACCAUCAGUUACAUCAACCACAACUGAGGAUCGAAAUUGAAUUUGACAUCAUAAGUACAAUCAUAUGAAUUUUAGAAGUUUUAGUCUAAUGCACAUGAAUAAAAUGGUGUAUGGUCUUCCUCAUAUCAAUAUGUCAAGGCAAUUAUAUGAACAAUGUUAUGUAUCCAAAAAGGCAAGAAGUCAUUCAAGCAUGACUUGCCUAUGAAGGCAAAGCAGGAGUUGGAGAUUACUUGAAGUAAAGUCAAUAGGACUGUUAUUUUCUAACCUUCAUAGAUGAACUCACAAGGUAUAUGUGGAUUUAAUUGAUGGAGAAGAAAAGUUAAGUACUCUUCCAAUUCAAGAAUUUUAAGUUAGUUGAAAGAAAAGGCUAAAUGUGACAUUAAGAGAUUGUGAACUAAUGGAGAAGGUGAAUAUACUUCAAUCGAGUUUGCACAAUUAUAUGAGAAGCAAAGAAUUAAGCAUGAGAUAAUAAAUUCUUACACACCUCAAUACAAUGGUAUUGUUGAAAGAAAAAAGAAGAAGCACAUUGAACAUGGAAAUAAACAUGCUUGAUGAUAAGAAAUUGCCAAAUCACUUAUGGGGAGAAGCAAUCUUAACAACAACCCAUGUCAUUAAUAGAUGCCCAAAAAAUAAGCUAAUGAACAAGACACCAUACGAAGCUUGGACAGGCCUGAAGCCAAGUUUUGGUCACUUCAUAAUUUAUUUCUCACUUUGAUCCAUGCAUGUACUUGAAAAAUUAAGAAGGAAGCUGAAUGAUAGAAGUCAGACAAUGAUCCUCAUAAGUUAUCACUUAACAAGUGCAUACAACAUAUUUUCACGUAAUGCGAAAAAGGUGGUGAUAAUAAGUAACGAUAUGCAGUUUGAUGAAAGCAAAUGAUGAAACUGGAUGAAAGUUUUAAAAAAUCCAUAGUAGAAUGGUGAAAACUUAAGCAAUGUUAGAACUAUAUUGCAAGAAGAUCAAGUAAAAGAAGUUGUGUAAAAACAGGAGGUAAAAAGGUCAGCAAAAGCAAUAAGUUAAUAUGUUAUGCUAACUGACUAUGAGAUAUUUCCUGAUCAAUCAAUAGAUGAAUAUGGUUGCCUGAUUGAAGAAGCCAUGAUGGUUGAAUCUAAGCCAAUUGACCUUAAUCAAGCUUGGAAGACGUGGAUUUGCAAAGAGCUAUAUGAAAGAUGAAAUCAAGGUAAUUGAUCUGACCUCCGAGUUGGUCAGUCACUUAAUCAAGAAACUCAUAGAUAUGAAGUGGGUCUAUAAGCUAAAAUUUAGGCCAGAUAAUCAGAUAGCCAAGUACAAGACAAGACUAGUUGUAAAAGGAUUUCUUCAAAGUAUGUAAUUGACAACCAUAUAGAUAUAUACACUAGUUGUUAGACUUGAAAUUAUAAGAGCAGUGGUUGCUAUAUAUUAUAUAUGGUAAAAUCUAUAAAACAUGGUCUCCACAUUUUGGUUAAGAGUGGUUAAAAACCUCAUGGUGCUCAUUCAAGAAAGGAGUUAGUCACCACUUUUAUAUAGCUAAGAAAAAUCAUGUCCAUGUUGGAGGAGUUUCAUUUUCUAUUAAAAAAUCUAUCUAAAAUAGACUUCACAUCAACACAUCCAUAUAGAUAACAAUCUCAUUGAUUUGGUAAUUGAGAAUGAUACAUGCGUCUCUUAGAGAUGACAAUGAGAAUCCAUGGACCCGAGCACUAUAGUCUUCUCGCUAUCCGCCUCAUAGGAUAAAUAUGAUACUUGUGCCCGUCCCAUGCUCGUGUUGGUUUCUACCAGACGAUAUUUGUGGAUUAUUAAUUGAUAUGGAUACCAUCAAAUCUGUAUCUGUACCUGUAAACUAACGAGUAAUUAAAUACUCAUUAAUUUAAUUCAUGAAUAUCCAAUAAACGACCGAACCCGUGUUUGUAACAAUUUUUUCUUAGGAAUACUCAAGAGUACAAUUUUUUUUUGCCAUUCAUAGUCUAUACACAAUUAUUCAAUUUACUUCCUUUUUUUUUCUUUCUUAUUGAAAACAUUUACUUGUCUUCUUUAGUGCAUGUUAGUGUCAUUUUUGCAUUACUUUAUACAUUCAAAAUUGAAUAAUUAUAACUUAAUCAUAAUCACAAUUUAGAUCAAUAAAUUUAUCAAUUAAAAAUUUAAAAAGAUGGUUAAAUUUAUUUAUUAAGAAUGAUUAAUUUACCAUGAACAACAAUAGGAUGGUGGUGCUCUAAAAUGACCUUCAUUUGGUGCUCUAAAAUAAGCUUCAUUACCAUUUAAUUGAAUUUAAUACUAUUAAAUUGGCAAUACAAGUACCAAUUUGGAAAACCCUACUUUUAUGAUCUCUGCAUAAAGCCCACGUGAGGACUGAGGCAGUCUACUAUAUAAUGCAUCUCUGAUUUUGAAAGAAAGUUACUGACAUCGACAUUUCAUUUUCCACCUUAUGUCGGGUUCAUCCAUAUUCAUUUAAGAAAAUGUAUCAUGUAUAUCAUUUUUUUUCAUAUGCAUAUGUGAUAUUCAAUUAAUUAUGUAUAAAAAUGUGAUUACUUUGAUUAAAUCAAUAAUUAAUUUAAUUUAUAGUUAAAAUUGUGGCUAAUUAAACAUAUAAACUAACCAUAUUUUAUAAUGUAAAUUAUAUAAAAAUAUACUCAAUAGAAUUAAUUAUAUUUUUACAUAUUAAAUAUUGUACAUGGGUAAGAAAAGGAAAUGUAUGUUUAUCAACACUGAUUUAUUUAUGUUCUGUUUUUAGUAAAUAAACAUAAUUUUUCAAUAUUUUCAUAUAUAUUUUAAAUUGUGUGUUUAUCUUAACUUUCACAAAUCUUUGUUGAAAAGAAAUCGGCGACUUGUAUGGAGGAAGAACAAUAUAAGGUGCUUCCUUCUCUACCUCUCCGACAACCUCCUUUUCGGAUGGUGUAGAUGCAUUUUCCUUAAUCUCUACAUCUUUUUUAACAAAAGCUCUCCUCAACCUCUUUAUCAUUCUCCCUAAAUUUUUCAACUUGUUUUUCACUUUUAAUUGUUACACAUUCACAUGUCCCUCUGCGUCGCAAGGGAUUCGACCACAAUGUUUAUCUGCCUAAUGGCUUCACUAGUAUAGAUAAUUUGGUUUCUAAACUCUUCAUUUCAGCGAGUUUGCAUUGCAAUAAAAUUCUCCAUUAAUAUUUCAAGGUUGGGUUAUUUUAGAAUAUUGCAAAUGAUUAUUGUAGAGAAAAUUGUGAUGAUCUAUCCACCAUGGAUUAUAGGUAUUGGGACAAGAGACUCCAUGGUUAUUAUUCACAUUGUUGAACGUAUUAAAAGAAAUAAUAAAAAAAGUAAAAGUUGCUAUAUUCUCUAUGAUAACAAAAUAGAAUAAUCAAUACAAGUUCUUCGCAUACAAGGGCAGCGAGAGAACUAUAGAAAAAACUCUAGUAUAUACGGUGACUAAACAAAAAUUCAAUAUCAAGCACAAUUGGUCCCCGUAAACAAUGUCAAAAACUUGACACGCCGCAAGUGUAUGAAUAUGCGAAGUAGUAAAACGUUAUUGAACCACAAAGACCAAAGGUUGAUUACCGAAUUUCGUCCUAUCAGUGUAUAUAUAAAGUAACCGAAAAAUAUGGAGUUUUGUAAAAUAACUUAAAUAGAAAAGCACUUUUGUAAAUUACUUAAAUAAAAAUCAC